UUUUGAUACACGUGCAUUCCUUCCUGAUCAUUAAUCAUGGACGCUACCUGACAACCGUAAGGGUGAAGUGGGCGACACUACAUGCGCCAAAUCUUACUUAAGUAGUACUCUUAUUAUUGAUUAGCAAAUACCAUAAUUAGAUAGGAUUAGAGGAGACCGUGUGUAGGGUGGCAACAGGGAGAACAAAUGAAAGGACCAACAUGGAAAAUCGCAUGAGGCCCAGUGGGAGGGGGGAGCCACCUUUUAUCUCCCAGCUCUUCAUAAUCAUAAUCGGUCGAUUGAGGAACACCCCAUGUGCUUCUCUUCCCUCGGUCGGUCUUUUGGGCAGUUUCAACGCUCUUCCUCUCCCGGUCGUUCCACUCCCAAGUUGAUCCCAUAAGUCUUGGCGACCGGCAACUUUCUGACAUAACCGGCUGCAGGUCCAUAAUCUCUCAUCAUAUUUCUAGGGUUCCAUCGUACAUUUCGCACCGAGGCCCCUGGUUUGUAGAUACCGCCCUGGACGUUCCAAACCCAGGCAAAGGGCGCGUGCGAGACACUCAGGUGGCGGCGGGAAGGUGCACCGAAGCUUCCUGCGCCCGAACAAAUCUAUCUCCCCGGCCAGGCCAACCAACUUUGUCGCGCAGAUCGAGAGCGGUGGUGUGCACGACUGCAUGAACGGCUGUACGAGCCUUGUCUCAACCCUGAACACUGAACCGCCGUGCUUGUCCGGCCCUAGCCGCUGCGUCAUCGGCUCGCGCUUUUUGGUUGGCUUUGCUAUCUGAUCUUGGUCUGGAUAUGCGUGCCUACGGGUCAUCACUUGUCUGUGGCGAUCGAUUAGACGAUAACUGAUGAGAUAGAGUGGGGUUUUCUUCUUCAGUUACGAUUAGCAUGCACUGAUC